rnacentral:rRNA from 1 species
AAUGAACGCUGGCGGCAUGCCUAACACAUGCAAGUCGAACGAUGCUUUCGGGCAUAGUGGCGCACGGGUGCGUAACGCGUGGGAAUCUGCCCUUAGGUUCGGAAUAACAGUUGGAAACGACUGCUAAUACCGGAUGAUGACGUAAGUCCAAAGAUUUAUCGCCUGAGGAUGAGCCCGCGUAGGAUUAGGUAGUUGGUGUGGUAAAGGCGCACCAAGCCGACGAUCCUUAGCUGGUCUGAGAGGAUGAUCAGCCACACUGGGACUGAGACACGGCCCAGACUCCUACGGGAGGCAGCAGUGGGGAAUAUUGGACAAUGGGCGAAAGCCUGAUCCAGCAAUGCCGCGUGAGUGAUGAAGGCCUUAGGGUUGUAAAGCUCUUUUACCCGGGAUGAUAAUGACAGUACCGGGAGAAUAAGCUCCGGCUAACUCCGUGCCAGCCGCCGCCGUAA